UAAUUGAAGAGUUUGAUCAUGGCUCAGAUUGAACGCUGGCGGCAGGCCUAACACAUGCAAGUCGAGCGGCAG
rnacentral:rRNA from 1 species